UGGGGAAUUUUGGACAAUGGGCGAAAGCCUGAUCCAGCAAUGCCGCGUGUGUGAAGAAGGCCUUCGGGUUGUAAAGCACUUUUGUCCGGAAAGAAAUCCUUGGCUCUAAUACAGUCGGGGGAUACGGUACCGGAAGAAUAAGCACCGGCUAACUACGUGCCAGCAGCCGCGGUAAUACGUAGGGUGCAAGCGUUAAUCGGAAUUACUGGGCGUAAAGCGUGCGCAGGCGGUUUGCUAAGACCGAUGUGAAAUCCCCGGGCUCAACCUGGGAACUGCAUUGGUGACUGGCAGGCUAGAGUAUGGCAGAGGGGGGUAGAAUUCCACGUGUAGCAGUGAAAUGCGUAGAGAUGUGGAGGAAUACCGAUGGCGAAGGCAGCCCCCUGGGCC
rnacentral:rRNA from 1 species